GACGAACGCUGGCGGCGUGCUUAACACAUGCAAGUCGAACGGAAAGGCCCUGCUUUUGUGGGGUGCUCGAGUGGCGAACGGGUGAGUAACACGUGAGUAACCUGCCCUUGACUUUGGGAUAACUUCAGGAAACUGGGGCUAAUACCGGAUAGGAGCUCCUGCUGCAUGGUGGGGGUUGGAAAGUUUCGGCGGUUGGGGAUGGACUCGCGGCUUAUCAGCUUGUUGGUGGGGUAGUGGCUUACCAAGGCUUUGACGGGUAGCCGGCCUGAGAGGGUGACCGGCCACAUUGGGACUGAGAUACGGCCCAGACUCCUACGGGAGGCAGCGGUGGGGAAUAUUGCACAAUGGGCGGAAGCCUGAUGCAGCAACGCCGGGUGCGGGAUGACGGCCUUCGGGUUGUAAACCGCUUUCGCCUGUGACGAAGCGUGAGUGACGGUAAUGGGUAAAGAAGCACCGGCUAACUACGUG
rnacentral:rRNA from 1 species